AUACGGGGGGUGCAAGCGUUAAUCGGAAUUACUGGGCGUAAAGCGCGCGUAGGCGGUUUGUUCAGUCGGAUGUGAAAGCCCAGGGCUCAACCUUGGAACUGCAUUCGAUACUGGCAAACUAGAAUGUGAUAGAUGAUAGUGGAAUUUCCGGUGUAGCGGUGAAAUGCGUAGAGAUCGGAAGGAACAUCAGUGGCGAAGGCGGCUAUCUGGAUCAACAUUGACGCUGAGGUGCGAAAGCGUGGGUAGCAAACAGGAUUAGAAACCCCAGUAGUCC
rnacentral:rRNA from 1 species